CACCACACCCAGCUAAUUUUUGUAUUUUUAGUAGAGAUGGGGUUCCACCAUGUUGGCCAGGAUGGUAUGAAUCCUCAGAUUCAUAUUUGUUAAUGUAGUUUAUAUUAGGGGCUCAGCCUCUAUUUGGAUUAGGUGCAAUAAUUACAUUUAUAGAAAGGAGUGGAGAAGGGAUCAGAAGACGAUGGUUUCUGUAGCUAGUGCUGGAAUCUGAGAUGGGAACCAUGCGAUGGGGAAAGCAAGAUGAAGGGGCCAGAAUUGGUUUCAUUGAACUGAGAGGAAAGACAUGACCAAGCCCAUAUUUACUCUUUGCUUUGUAGAUUUAAAUGUUGAGAAAGAAAAACAGCUGGUCAGAAUGUUGAGUUAAAUUACGCUAACGAGGGGAUUCUAAAGAGUGCAGAAACCACAAAAGAGACUGCAGAAAACCACAAAAGUGGAACUCUCAGACUCUCCAGCAAGGCGGCGUUGGAGAUUUUCUUUCUCAUUUUGUGUUUGUGUUGGAGUAGUUUGGUGCUGAGAAGAUUUGAGACGGAUUUCGUCACAAUCAGGUCUCGGGCACAAGCCUCACAUGGACACUGACAUGCAGGAGCCAGAGGAGACAGCAAUGAGGUGGUGGUAAGGAAGUGCCCAAAAAGGUUUCCCAGAGGAAGAGUUGUUUGUGUUGGCAUGUGAGGGACAAGCUUUCCAGGCACCAGAGCCAAGAGCAGUGCUCUGUCCGAGGAAGUAGGAUAAACCGAAAGACGGACGUAGGGGCAGAGUUGCUGUGGCUGCCCUCACUGCCGCAGCCAGCUCCUUCCAUGAGUUGCAGAAUGCCUACUGUGUGCAAGGCACUGUGUUGAGUGCAGGGAAUCACAUCCAGUCUUGUUGUCCCCAUCUAUAGCUGAUAAAGAAGCUAUGAGAAAUUAAGUGACCUGACCAAGGCCACACAGCUGUGGAAGAAGGGGCGAGAGCAUAGACAGUGGGUAAGGGCAUAGGCUCACCCUAUGAUUUACAAAGAGGGAUACCCCUGAAGUUGCUAGGGUAACGUGACAUAUUAGGAGGAUGGUGGGAUAAAAUAUGUGAACAUCGGGAUCAUUCUGGAAAACCUUUAGGAUAAAAGGCCACUGUCAUGCUCCCAUGUUCACGUUUCUUUAUUGUGAGUUAUCUGUGUUAGGUGCUGCCAGAGAUGAUGAGAUGCCUGACAGUGGUUACUCUGUAAUAGCUCUUUAAAAAUUAAAGACAAAGUAGGGUUUGUUCCUGACUGUACUAGAAAUACAGAUUUAAUUUUACCUCUGCUCCUGAAAUAGGUGACUAAUUUGGAGUACUAUUAAUACUCUUUUCAUGAAUUAGUUGAGAAAUUCCACAGUUGAGGAGUGAUUCAUUCUUUUGACUCCCUCUUUCUGAGCAAUUUGUUGACAGCCUUCUCAUCCUCUCUUACACCCGUCAUUAAAGAAACAGUCGAGUUCUUUUUCUUUCAUGUGGUACCUUGGUUUCCACUGCUGGUGGCCCUUAGGUUGCUUGUCUCUGUCUCCCCGCUUCCAUUUUAAGCUCCAUAGGGGGAAGGUAGUCUUGUUCACUGCUAGACUCCUAGUCCAGUGUGUAGCACAGUCAUAUCCACGGAAUAUUUGUUCAGUGUACUGGUGGCUGUUAACUGCAGCAUAAUCCAGCAACCCUGGAGAUUAUUUUCUUCCUUUUUUUUUUUUUUUCUUUGAAGCAGGGUCUGACUACUCUGUCACCUAGGCUGAAGUGCAGUGGUUCAAACACUGCUCACUGCAGCCUCCCAAGUAGCUGGAAUUACAGACAUCCACUACACCUGGCUAAUUUUUAAUUUUUAAAAAUUAUUAUUAUUUCUGAGAUGGAGUCUUGCUGUGUCACCCAGGCUGGAGUGCAGUGGCACAAUCUCAGCUCACUGCAGCCUCUGCCUCCUGGGUUCAAGCAAUUCUCCUGCCUCAGCUUCCGGAGUAGCUGGAACUGCCAGUGUGUGCCACCACACUCGACUGGUUUUUGUAUUUUUAGUAGAGACGGUAUUUCUCCAUAUUGGCCAGGCUGGUCUCGAACUCCUGGCCUCAAGUGAUCCGCCCACUUUGGCCUCCCAAAGUACUGGGAUUAUAGGCGUGAGCCACAGCUUCCAGCCUGAUUGUUUCCAUUUUAAAAAAGAGUAAUUGAAGUAACCUUUGUUACCAAUGAAAUGAAUUAACCUUCUAGUAUAUUAAUUCUCACGGUUUAGGUUAUUUGAACUAAGCUGAGAGAACAGAAUACCAAAGAAGACAAUAGACUUGCCCAGAAAUAUUUAGAAGUAAGUCACUCAGUUGCCUGGAUUGGAACCCUCAGGCCAGAGAGGUUCAAAAUCCUGCAUUUUUUUUUUUUUUUUUUUUUUUUUGAGACAGAGUCUCACUCUAUCACCCAAGCUGGAGUGCAAUGGUGCGAUCUCGGCUCACUGCAACCUCCGCCUCCCGGGUUUAAGCGAUUCUCCUGCGUUAGCCUUCCGAGUAGCUGGAACUACAGGUGCGCGCCACCACGCCCAGCUAAUUUUUUUUUUUUUUUUUUUUUUUUGAGAUGGACUCUCGCUCUGUCGCCCAGGCUGGAGUGCAGUGGUGCGAUCUCAGCUCACUGCAAGCUCCACCUCCUGGGUUCAUGCCGUUCUCCUGCCUCAGCCUCCCGAGUAGCUGGGACUACAGAUGCCCGCCGCCAUGCCCGACUAAUUUUUUUGUAUUUCUAGUAGAGAUGGGGUUUCACCGUGUUAGCCAGGAUGGUCUCGAUCUCCUGACCUCGUGAUCCGCCCACCUCGGCCUCCCAAAGUGCUGGGAUUACAGGCGUGAGCCACCGUGCCCAGCCUAAUUUUUGUAUUUUUAGUAGAAACGGGGUUUCACCAUGUUGACCAGGAUGGUCUCAAUCUCCUGACCUUGUGAUCCACCCGCCUCAGCCUCCCAAAGUGCUGGGAUUACAGGCGUGAGCCACCACUCCUGGCCAAUCCUGCUAAUUAUUAAUAUCAGAACUACUUGGUUCAAAGGAGUGGAAAUAGGGCAACGAGGGGUGUAAAUUUGCAGUUAGGUGGAAUGCUGAUAGCAAGUUUUCCAGGUAGGAGAGUUAGUUGGGGUGGGGGAUGCUAAUGUUAGCUUAUCUCUGUAUAUAUAUUUAAUUUUAUAUGUUAUUUAUUUUUGAGAUGGGAUGUAACUCUGUAGCCCAGGCUGGAGUGCAGUGGCACAAACACAGCUCACUGCAGCCUUGAACUCCUGGGCUAAAGGGAUCCUCCCACCCACCUCAGUCUCCAAGGUAGCUGGGACCACAGGCAUGUGCCACCAUGCUCUGCUAAUUUUUUCGGGUUUUUUUUUUUUUUUGAGAUCUCUUGCUGUGUUGCCCAGGCUGAUCUCAAACUCCUGGCCUCAAGUGAUCCUCUUGCCUUGGCCUCUCAAAGUGCUGAGAUUAUAGGCAUGAGCCACCGUACCCAGCCUAUAUUUUUUUUAUUGUGACAUUUAAUGCACAAAAGAAGAUAUGCAGCAUCAAUGCAGAUAAUGGAACAAAACAAACACUAUCCGCCUUAAAAACACAAAUAUUUUUGGUACUUUUGUACCAAUCUGUAUGCUGUUUCUCUAUCUUCUACUUCUUCUCCCUGUACCCUCACCAGGUAAGUAACCCCAGAGCUGCUGGUACAUUUGUGUGGAUUAAAAAAGACACCUGGAAGGGGCAGAUACAGCCCUGCUUGACUUCCUGUUUUAUCACGUGUUUAUAAAUCUAAACAAUGACAUGGAACUUAUUAUACAAUAUUUUAGGCAUAAAUUAAGAAUGAUUUCGCUCACCAUCAUAGACCUACCACUCAAUUUGAAGCAUCAAACAUUACUGGUAUGGUGAGGCCCUCUGGCUGUCCCUCCAACAGAAGUUACCACCCUCCUCAGUUGGGUUUCUCAUUCCUAUGCAUUUCUUCUUACUACUUAUGUAUGUAUUUCCAAGCAACACAUAGAAUUGCUUUGCAUGCUUUUUAUCUUCUUAAAAAUUGGUUUUAUAUUGUAUGCAUGGUGCCACCUGCUUUUAAGGAGAAGCAACACGUUUGUGAGGCCAUCUGUUUAUAUGUUGUUCUAGGGCUUUGCUGUCCAUUUUGGUAGCCACUAGCCACAGCUGGCUGUUUAAAUUAAUUAAAAUCAAAUCAAAUCAAAUAUUUAGUUCCUCAGUCUCACUGGUCACAUUUCAAGUGGCCAGUAAGCACAUGUGGCCAUUGGCAUCUGUAUUGCAUAGCACAGAUUACAUUCUGUUCCAUCAUCACAGCUAGUUCUCUUGGACAGCCCUGCAGGGCAUUUCUUUUUGGUUUUUGUUUUGUUUUUAUUUUUGUUUUUUGCUAGAGUCUUUGUUGUGUAAAUACAUUACUAUUUUAUAUCCAUUUUUCUAUUUAUAAGCAUUUGGGUAUGCUCAUAAUUUGCUGUUACAAAUUGUGCUGCAUAAGCAUUUUGUUUGUGUGUGUAUAGAUGAUCUCCUUGGGCAAUUGUGUUAAUUUCUCUUGGGUAUAUACCUGGGAGUAAAAUUAAGAUAAGGGCAUUUUCAGCUUUACCAGACCCCGUUAAGUUACUCUCAAGUGGUUUUAUCAAUUUAUAUUCUAGAACCAACAUUAUGUAUCAGUAACAUUUGGUAACUUCAGGCGUUUUUUUUCCAUUCUGCUGAGUGUGAAAAAUGUGUUUUGAUUAUGGUUGUCAUUUGUUAGAAUACUUUGUUAAAGCUUUUUAAAGAUUCUUGGUCCCUCUACCCUCCCCACCCCCUACCCCAGGAAUUUUGAUUGGGUAGGACCUGGGGAUUAUAUUCAUCUUUAUAUGCAGAAUUAUAUUACUUGUUACUGUUAGGCCUGAUUUAAGAAGUAAAAUAAGGCUGGGUGCAGUGGCUCAUGCCUGUAAUCCCAGCACUUUGGGAAGCCAAAGUGGGCACAUCACUUGAGCCCAGGAGUUUGAGACCAGCCUGGGCAAUGUGGCUAAAACCCCUUCUCUACCAAAAAUACAAAAAUUAGCUGGGCGUGGUAGCACGUGCCAGUGGUCUCAGCUACUGGGGAAGCUGAGGCGGGAGGAUUGCCUGAGCCUGGCAAGUGUAGGCAGCAGUGAGCUGAGAUUGUGCCACUGUAGUACAUCCUGGGUGACAGAGCAACACACUGUCUCAAAAAAAAAUUUUUUUUUAAGUAAAAUAAGUUCAUAAUUCCAAAUGUGGAAAAUGCAGAACAAGUUAAUGAAAUGUUAAUCCUACUACCAAAUGAUAACUAUAACCUUCCUUUCAGUAUUUUUCUAUGUAUAUACAACAAAAUUGGGGCACUGUUUAAUACAGAUAAUAUAUAUAGUUAGCUCUCCUUAUUAAUGGGCUUCACAUUCAUGGAUUCAACCAACUGUGGAUCAAAAAUCUUUAGUGUGCUUGGAGUACAUCCAAAAAAAAAAAAAGAAAAUUGAAAUUAUGUUAAUAAUAAAAUAUUUGGGAAAAAACA